rnacentral:misc_RNA from 1 species
AGUACGGUCCAUACCUUCAAAACGGUGCGUUUUUCUGUUAUUUGAUCGAUUUCGUUUCUAUUGAAUUUGUGCUGUUUUGGUUUCUGGGAAAAUUGAGGGUAUUUGGAUUUUUGAUAGGAACAUUUGGGCAUUGGAAAUAAGAGUGAGAAUUUGGAUCUCAUGGCUGUUGGUUGAAUUAGGUGAUUUGAUGCUAUGGGAGCUUGAGAGAAAUGUGAUGAUGUUAUGUUAGGAAUGCAAAUUUUGCGCGUCCUAAAUGGAAUUCAGUUGAAUUUUUUGCUCAAUUUUGAUCUGCCAUUUUGUUUUUGAUUUGGUGUGGCAGA